GGAGAGUUGGCAGAGCGGUAAUGCAGCGGAUUGCUAAUCCGUCAACCCUUUAUAGGGUUGCAAGAGUUCAAAUCUCUUACUCUCCG
rnacentral:tRNA from 1 species